rnacentral:rRNA from 1 species
AGUGAACGCUGGCGGUAGGCCUAACACAUGCAAGUCGAACGGCAGCACAGUAAGAGCUUGCUCUUACGGGUGGCGAGUGGCGGACGGGUGAGGAAUACAUCGGAAUCUACUUUUUCGUGGGGGAUCACGUAGGGAAACUUACGCUCAUACCGCAUACGACCUACGGGUGAAAGCAGGGGAUCUUCGGACCUUGCGCGAUUGAAUGAGCCGAUGUCGGAUUAGCUAGUUGGCGGGGUAAAGGCCCACCAAGGCGACGAUCCGUAGCUGGUCUGAGAGGAUGAUCGGCCACACUGGAACUGAGACACGGUCCAGACUCCUACGGGAGGCAGCAGUGGGGAAUAUUGGACAAUGGGCGCAAGCCUGAUCCAGCCAUACCGCGUGGGUGAAGAAGGCCUUCGGGUUGUAAAGCCCUUUUGUUGGGAAAGAAAAGCAGCAGGUUAAUACCCCGCUGUUCUGACGGUACCCAAAGAAGAAGCACCGGCUAACUUCGUG